GCUGUCAAUUUCCUGCGUGCAAUGAAUGUGAGCAAUGAUCGUCAACGCUACUGAACAUUCCAUUUGCAGUGUCCGUUAUGUGUACAUGUAGGGUAGUGUAGUGUGCCAUUACAAGGUCUGACCUUCAGCUGGUGCGAGAACUGCUUUGUUCAACGGCAAAGGACACCUCUGCCAAUUAAGUCCACAUGUUUGCCACUCUUUGCGAAAGGUCGUCAUCCACAUAAGACACACUAUUUUCAGGACUUUGAUGUACUGUAGGGACAAUCGAAAGAGACCUCGACCUUCACACGAUGGACGCUAUCCAUGGGACAGGGCCGUGUCACAAACAUCUGUUGCCAAUAUUUAUUUCAGCUUUGGUCGGUAAAUGAUCAGAACCAGUGGCUGAUAGCAUGAACAUCGUCCCUGGAAGACGAUGUAACCACCGACUAUCAUGGGAUGCUGGGACCUCGCGGGAUCAGGAAUCCUCAAGGGAACAUUUAUGAAGAACAGAAGAAAUUGAUACUGUCAAGGCCCUACCAUUAAAAGAGAGAGCAGAACUUUGACCAGCCUGCAUCCUUGACUCUAACAGUGCCCAGGUGUUCGUGAAACCGACCAUCAUGCCCUUCUCGACAAGGGUGUUAUUAAGUUACUAUGAUUGUCCGGAAACUUUGACGUUGUUUUGAUCAGGCAGAAAGGUCGUGGAUAACUGAGGAGAGACGGUGAGCAGCACAAUCUGUCAAGCACGAACAGAUGUGUCGUUGUCCGGAUAACAAGGAUACAGUCAUUGACUAUACGGUAAAAUGAAUAGCUGGACGUCUCCGUUAUGAUCAAACAUGUGAAACCCAGAUUGUUGAAUUAAGUCAUGCGUCUGUCAUGUUAAAUCUGUGAAGUCUUCAAGACGAAUAAUGACUUGGUUUCCCACCGGGUGUGUGAUUUUUCAAUUUAUGUCAAAGUAUAGGAAUGGUAUCAGUCAUAUGCGGAGAACACGUUGCGGCACACGGUUCCCAGAGAAACGCAUUGCUGAUACAUACAAAUCCAGGGAAUAUGUAAAAUAUAUUUGUCCAAAGGUGAUAAAUAUUGUAAAUAUAAAUAUUGAAAGUUCUAAAACCAAAAUGCAUUGAUGUAGUUAGUUAUAUAACAGUAUGAUAGGUUUCAUUCUGUGUUUCUGUGACUUUUGUAACAUUGCCGGGUGUUAAACAAAAUGUGCUAUCUGUUAUUGUUAUUUGUCGUGGAUCCGUGGUCCAAUGGAUAGAGUCACUGCUCUGGUUAUAGCGGUUUGAUUACAUCAAAGAAACAUUUGAUCACUAUCAUCGAAGAUUAAAGUCCUCAUAAAUUUUGUUUUGGAUGAAAUAAACUUCGAUCAGCGGGUAGUAAAACGACAUUAAUAUUCGGAGUUUUACACGCAUGGCAUCACAUCCAGCAUGAAAUAGUUUGCGUUUUGCACUGGUUUUAUUACUGUUUUGUUUUAUAUAGCCGCCAACAAUAAUGUUCCAGUAUAUAGCAUCUCAAGGAGCCACUUAAUAAUUACUUGAUUAAUGGACAGUUUGGGUAAACUCCAAAUAACUAUAUCAUUCAAGCGAACACAUGCAGUCGAUAUGAGUACAACUAAUGUCCAGUCAAAACAUGAUAAAUGUGGGCCAAAUAAACGCUCUGUUCUUCACAGCUGUUCUGCUGGCAAGCUUGUUCAGGGAAUCCAUGUUGAUAACGUCUGGUAAGCUAUUUGACUGAGCAUCAUAUAUGCUUUACAAACAAGUGCAUGUAGUUGUGACUGUCAUGUUUCUGGCGAAAUAG